UAGUCCACGCCGUAAACGAUGUCAACUAGCCGUUGGGAGACUUGAUCUCUUGGUGGCGCAGCUAACGCGAUAAGUUGACCGCCUGGGGAGUACGGCCGCAAGGUUAAAACUCAAAUGAAUUGACGGGGGCCCGCACAAGCGGUGGAGCAUGUGGUUUAAUUCGAUGCAACGCGAAGAACCUUACCAGGUCUUGACAUCCUUGGAACUAGGCAGAGAUGCCUUGGUGCCUUCGGGAGCCAAGUGACAGGUGCUGCAUGGCUGUCGUCAGCUCGUGUCGUGAGAUGUUGGGUUAAGUCCCGUAACGAGCGAAACCCUUGUCUCUAGUUGCCAGCGAGUUAUGUCGGGGACUCUAGAGAGACUGCCGGUGUUAAACCGGAGGAAGGUGGGGAUGACGUCAAGUCCUCAUGGCCUUUAUGACUAGGGCUGCACACGUCCUACAAUGCGGCAUACAAAGGGACGCAAACCCGCGAGGGGGAGCGAAACCUCAAAAAGUGUACGCUCAGUUCGGAUUGCG
rnacentral:rRNA from 1 species